UGGAGGAGAGCCUUCAAGAACAGGACAAGAUAAACACAAGUAUGGGAUUACACUAAUGCAUCCUGGACAGCCUUUGCUACUGCUAAAGCAAAGUCACAAUGCACACAACCUUCUUGUGGAUUUUAGGAAUGAAGUGCAAAAUGUGUUCUAAGACUUAUGGAGACUACGUAAUUAAAUGUUAUGAGAAUCCAAUAGCUCUCUCUCUCUCUCUCUCGAUGUUUGUAAAUUGGUUGAAGAGGUAUUCAUGAUUUUAAGGCUUGGUAUCUAGGCAGCAUGCAUUUACAAGGGUCCUUAAGGCAGUGCGACAUGGUAGAGCUCUUGUGCGAGUAUCAUUCAACAGUAAUCUGCAGAAGUCGGACUACAUUAUGAAUGCAGUUGGUUCUCAUUUAUACCCUCAGAAUCCAGUCCUCCGCCUUGGAAGUCAGCUCAACUUCAGUGUAGAAGGUUGGUGUAUGAUAAAAUUUUACAUUAAUUUUUAGUUGGUCACAACUAAAACUCACAAAUCCAUUUCGGAAAUCUAGAUCUAAAAGACAACAUUGAAUUAAUGUUUAAAAAGCCAUACUAAUUGUAUAUGUCAGGUAGAAAUCUUAGUCUGAAAUUGAUGAAUAAUUCAAAUGCUAUUUUUUUUUGUCUGAAAUCUAUACUAAACCAUUGGAACAGCUUAGCUCAGCUAACUCUAAUCCUUAAGUUGGAUAUGCCCAGUAGUUGUAGGAAUGCCAUCAAGGAUUUAUCCGUUGGGUUAAGCUUGAAAGCUCAAACAUUGAGUGUUUAUAUUUAAGAGCUUCUUCCUUCCAUGCUAUUGGAGAAUAUAGAGAAGCGGUAUUAGGGAUUCUUUUUCUUGAUUUUCCCAUUUAAACUACUGGGCAUCAUGCUCAAUUCUUCUUUGCUUUGGUUUACUAAAUUUCAUUUUAUGACAAAGGUGAA